AUCACAUCUUUGCCUUUUGACUGAAUUCAAGUGUAGUUUCUCUUCUUACCUGUUUAACAUCUGAUACCUCCUUUAUCUGAGACAUAUUAAAUGGACAUUUGGAACAUGGAGAUGGAAUAGGAGUUUGCUCUAUCUACUCAAUGCAUCCACUGAAAUUGCAGUACCUCCAGAACAGUGCACACACA
ensembl:snRNA U2 U2 spliceosomal RNA